UGCCAGCCGCCGCGGUAAUACGGAGGGGGUUAGCGUUGUUCGGAAUUACUGGGCGUAAAGCGCGCGUAGGCGGUCUUUUAAGUUAGGCGUGAAAGCCCCGGGCUCAACCCGGGAACUGCGCUUAAGACUGGAAGACUAGAAAACGGAAGAGGGUAGUGGAAUUCCCAGUGUAGAGGUGAAAUUCGUAGAUAUUGGGAAGAACACCAGUGGCGAAAGCGGCUACCUGGUCCGAUUUUGACGCUGAGGCGCGAAAGCAUGGGUAGCGAAAGGGAUUAGAUA
rnacentral:rRNA from 1 species